rnacentral:lncRNA from 1 species
UGUUUUUAAUGGAGCUUUGAUGUCCAAUAGCAGGUACGAAAGCUCACAAGCUCACAAAUGUGGAAAGAAAGGUGAAAUAGGGGAGAAAUAUACCUAAGUCCAAGCUUAAAAGCCCAUUUCGCAACUCAAAAAGUGAGUUGCGAAAAUUUCGCAAGGUGAAUUUCACCUUGCGAAAUGCACAUUUUGGCAAGAUGCAAAAUGCAACCUCUCGGGAUUGCACUUUCGCAAGGAGUAACCAGUGCGAAAAUUUUCGCAAGUCAUUUUUCACCUUGCGAAAUUGUUUUCAAAGCAAAUAUCAAAAUGCAACCUCUCGGGAUUGGUUUUUAAGGGGAGUAGCCAGUGCGAAAAUUUGGCAAGGUGAAUUUUCACCUUGCGAAAUUUCCAGCACUCCGCCAUGCUCUCUCA